rnacentral:rRNA from 1 species
GACGAACGCUGGCGGCGUGCCUAAUACAUGCAAGUAGAACGCUGAAGGAGGAGCUUGCUUCUCUGGAUGAGUUGCGAACGGGUGAGUAACGCGUAGGUAACCUGCCUGGUAGCGGGGGAUAACUAUUGGAAACGAUAGCUAAUACCGCAUAAGAGUAGAUGUUGCACGACAUUUGCUUAAAAGGUGCAAUUGCAUCACUACCAGAUGGACCUGCGUUGUAUUAGCUAGUUGGUGAGGUAACGGCUCACCAAGGCGACGAUACAUAGCCGACCUGAGAGGGUGAUCGGCCACACUGGGACUGAGACACGGCCCAGACUCCUACGGGAGGCAGCAUUAGGGAAUCUUCGGCAAUGGACGGAAGUCUGACCGAGCUCCGCCGCGUGAGUGAAGAAGGUUUUCAGAUCGCCCCCUCUGUUGUAAUUCAAGACUGAGUGUGAGAGUGGAGAAUUUGGCCUGUGCCUAAAUCCCAGUGUAGAAGGAACAAC